rnacentral:rRNA from 1 species
CGGGGGGGCAAGCGUUGUUCGGAAUUACUGGGCGUAAAGGGCUCGUAGGCGGCCAACUAAGUCAGACGUGAAAUCCCUCGGCUUAACCGGGGAACUGCGUCUGAUACUGGAUGGCUUGAGUUUGGGAGAGGGAUGCGGAAUUCCAGGUGUAGCGGUGAAAUGCGUAGGUAUCUGGAGGAACACCGGUGGCGAAGGCGGCAUCCUGGACCAACACUGACGCUGAGGAGCGAAAGCCAGGGGAGCAAACGGGAUUAGAUACCCCGGUAGUCCUGGCCCUAAACGAUGAAUGCUUGGUGUGACGGGUAUCGAUCCCUGUCGUGCCGAAGCUAACGCAUUAAGCAUUCCGCCUGGGGAGUACGGUCGCAAGGCUG